UGCCGAUUUAGCUCAGUUGGUAGAGCAUCUGUCUUGUAAACAGGGGGUCGAAGGUUCGAGUCCUUUAAUCGGCAUAAA
rnacentral:tRNA from 1 species